rnacentral:rRNA from 1 species
CCUACGGGGCGCAGCAGUGGGGGAUAUUGCACAAUGGGGGAAACCCUGAUGCAGCGACGCCGCGUGGGUGAAGAAGCGCCUCGGCUCGUAAAGCCCUGUCAGCAGGGAAGAAAAUGACGGUACCUGAAGAAGAAGCCCCGGCUAACUACGUGCCAGCAGCCGCGGUAAUACGUAGGGGGCAAGCGUUAUCCGGAUUUACUGGGUGUAAAGGAGGCGCAGACGGCGAUGCAAGCCAGGAGUGCAAGCCCGGGGCCCAACCCCGGGACUGCUCUUGGAACUGCGUGGCUAGAGUGCAGGCGGGGCAG